UCCCACUGAGCGUCGGCUCAGUUUUUUCCCCUUUAGCCUGCAGGAGCUGAAUUCUGUGUGGCGCCAGAAGGCUAAAAGGGAAAAAACCAAGCCGACACUCAGUGGGA